GAAUGAACUUAGUGAAUCUAUUGGUGGCGAUCGAAGGUGGACAGCAAGAUCGAAGCUCAGCAAGAUUGAAGAUUGUUCGAGGAAGAAGGAGUUCGCCGUUGACUAAAAGGUUUAUCUGAACAGCUAGUUGUCAAGAUGAAGGUGAAGACUCGCCCGGCCAAAUUCAAAAUGGCGAUGCCAAAGAAAACCAUCCACGUGGACCGUUCGCGGACCUUUCUGAGCAAGAUUGUUG
rnacentral:misc_RNA from 1 species